CCUACGGGAGGCAGCAGUGGGGAAUAUUGGUCAAUGGGCGGGAGCCUGAACCAGCCAAGUCGCGUGAGGGAAGACGGUCCUAUGGAUUGUAAACCUCUUUAGGCGGGGAGCAAUGCCGGGCACGCGUGCCCGGAGGGAGAGUACCCGAAGAAUAAGCAUCGGCUAACUCCGUGCCAGCAGCCGCGGUAAUACGGAGGAUGCGAGCGUUAUCCGGAUUGAUUGGGUUUAAAGGGUGCGUAGGCGGAUUUUUAAGUCAGCGGUAAAAUGUCCGGGCUCAACCCGGGCCGGCCGUUGAAACUGGGGAUCUUGAGUGGGCGAGAAGUAUGCGGAAUGCGUGGUGUAGCGGUGAAAUGCAUAGAUAUCACGCAGAACUCCGAUUGCGAAGGCAGCAUACCGGCGCCCGACUGACGCUGAGGCACGAAAGCGUGGGGAUCGAACAGGAUUAGAUACCCGGGUAGUC
rnacentral:rRNA from 1 species